GGCACCCCAGAAACCCAAAGACAAGAGAGACGCGCCCAUCCUGACAUUGCCUGCGACAUCCCCUUGAAUUUGCCUCACCAUAAGUUGAUGGAGGUGAAAUUCAAGCAGGUCUAGCUGAGUGGACUGGCCAGAGGACUGUGCCUAAUGUGUUCAUUGCGGGGAAGCACAUCGGCGGCUGCGUCUCUGUCUUAGAGAGGCAACAGGCCGGUCAGCAUCUGCCUCUUCUCCGGGAGGCUGGUGCAGUUGCUAAUCACCCGGUAUCUGCCUGAAUGAUCGAAGAAAAGAUGAAACUAAUCAGCCUGUAUUCCUGAGUCAAGGUUGGACUAGUUAAAUAAAAUGAGUCUAGCUACUGAAUGUUAUGUUUGAUAGAGUAAACAGCAAAAGAAGAAGCUCUUCUAUGGUUGUAGUUGUACAAAGUACAAACUGUGUUUCUUUUUAUAUAUGCAAUGGGUUACCGCCAAGUUUAGGUUGCAGAAUAGACAUGUCCUGUGUUGAGAAUGCCUCUAAAUAGGGUUGUGUGUCUGGAAUCCCAAUAUAUGACAUUUAUGUGUAUAGCCGAGGAACCUGAGUUUCUCUAGGUUAUAUAGUUAUUUGAUAGAGCACCAGACCAGUAUCAGUGCACAUUCACUGAAAAGUUCCAGCUUUGUAUCAACAGCGUCCGGUUUAUGCUUUCUUUCAAAGCUAAAUUACAACAUUCGGAGUUAUUAUAGGGUCCAAGUUUACAUUCCAGUAAUUGUACAGUUCUUAAUACCUCGAACUAGUCCACAUCAUGUGA